CGUGCUGCCAUGGGUAUAAGAGGUUCCUUGAGCCUUUGAAUACACUGUGGCUGGUUGGUGCCGAUACCUUUGCUUGCAAACCCCCAAGCUAAGGUGUUUGGUUUWUCAAGCGCGGGUGUUGAGGUUGAUCGUUGCUUUGU
rnacentral:rRNA from 1 species